UACAGAGGGGGCAAGCGUUGUUCGGAAUUACUGGGCGUAAAGGGCUCGUAGGCGGCCAACUAAGUCGGACGUGAAAUCCCUCAGCUUAACUGGGGAACUGCGUCCGAUACUGGAUGGCUUGGAUUUGGGAGAGGGAUGCGGAAUUCCAAGGUGUAGCGGUGAAAUGCGUAGAUAUCUGGAGGAACACCGGUGGCGAAGGCGGCAUCCUGGACCAAUAUUGACGCUGAGGAGCGAAAGCCAGGGGAGCAAAGCGGG
rnacentral:rRNA from 1 species